rnacentral:rRNA from 1 species
UAGGGAAUCUUCGGCAAUGGGGGGAACCCUGACCGAGCAACGCCGCGUGAGUGAAGAAGGUUUUCGGAUCGUAAAGCUCUGUUGUUAAGGAAGAACGAGUGUGAGAAUGGAAAGUUCAUACUGUGACGGUACUUAACCAGAAAGGGACGGCUAACUACGUGCCAGCAGCCGCGGUAAUACGUAGGUCCCGAGCGUUGUCCGGAUUUAUUGGGCGUAAAGCGAGCGCAGGCGGUUAGAUAAGUCUGAAGUUAAAGGCAGUGGCUCAACCAUUGUAGGCUUUGGAAACUGUUUAACUUAGUGCAGAAGGGGAGAGUGGAAUUCCAUGUGUAGCGGUGAAAUGCGUAGAUAUAUAGAGGAACACCGGUGGCGAAAGCGGCUCUCUGGUCUGUAACUGACGCUGAGGCUCGAAAGCGUGGGGAGCGAACAGG